UACGGAGGGUGCAAGCGUUGCUCGGAAUUAUUGGGCGUAAAGGGCAGGUAGGUGGUCUCAUUUGUCUGGGGUGAAAGCCUUGAGCUUAACUCAAGAAGUGCCCCGGAAACGGUGAGACUAGAGUACUGGAGAGGUUCGUGGAAUUCCCGGUGUAGCGGUGAAAUGCGUAGAGAUCGGGAGGAACACCAGAGGCGAAGGCGGCGAACUGGACAGUCACUGACACUCAACUGCGAAAGCGUGGGGAGCAAACAGG
rnacentral:rRNA from 1 species